ACCAAACUCAAGUGAUCCGCCC
rnacentral:siRNA from 1 species